GAUGAACGCUGGCGGCGUGCCUAAUACAUGCAAGUCGAGCGAACAGACGAGGAGCUUGCUCCUCUGACGUUAGCGGCGGACGGGUGAGUAACACGUGGAUAACCUACCUAUAAGACUGGGAUAACUUCGGGAAACCGGAGCUAAUACCGGAUAAUAUAUUGAACCGCAUGGUUCAAUAGUGAAAGACGGUUUUGCUGUCACUUAUAGAUGGAUCCGCGCCGCAUUAGCUAGUUGGUAAGGUAACGGCUUACCAAGGCAACGAUGCGUAGCCGACCUGAGAGGGUGAUCGGCCAAACUGGAACUGAGACACGGUCCAGACUCCUACGGGAGGAAGCAGUAGGGAAUCUUCCGCAAUGGGCGAAAGCCUAACGGAGCACCGCCGCGUGAGUGAUGAAGGUCUUCGGAUCGUAAAACUCUGUUAUUAGGGAAGAACAAAUGUGUAAGUAACUGUGCACGUCUUGACGGUACCUAAUCAGAAAGCCACGGCUAACUACGUG
rnacentral:rRNA from 1 species